rnacentral:misc_RNA from 1 species
UGGACUACUAGGGUUUCUAAUCCUGUUCGCUCCCCACGCUUUCGUGCAUCAGCGUCAGUAAUGGCCCAGUAAGCUGCCUUCGCAAUCGGUGUUCUGUGUAAUAUCUAAGCAUUUCACCGCUACAUUACACAUUCCGCCUACCUUGACCGUACUCAAGACUAACAGUAUCAAUGGCAAGUCUCCAGUUAAGCUGAAGGUUUUCACCACUGACUUAUUAAUCCGCCUACGCACCCUUUAAACCCAAUAAAUCCGGAUAACGCUCGCAUCCUCCGUAUUACCGCGGCUGCUGGCAC